AGCAGCCGCGGUAAUUCCAGCUCCAAUAGCGUAUAUUAAAGUUGUUGCAGUUAAAAAGCUCGUAGUUGAAUUUCGGGAUCAAUUCGUCGGUCGUGCUUUUUGGUACGUACUGGUGUUAUUGGUUUCUCCCUUCUGACAAGCCAUGAUGUCAUUAAUUUGGUGUUAUGGGGAGUCAAGACUGUUACUUUGAAAAAAUUAGAGUGUUUAAAGCAGGCAUUAGCUUGAAUACAUUAGCAUGGAAUAAUGAAAUAGGACGUUCGAACCUAUUUUGUUGGUUUCUAGGAUCAACGUAAUGAUUAAUAGGGAUAGUUGGGGGCAUUAGUAUUCAAUUGUCAGAGGUGAAAUUCUUGGAUUUAUUGAAGACUAACUACUGCGAAAGCAUUUGCCAAGGAUGUUUUCAUUAAUCAAGAACGAAAGUUAGGGGAUCGAAGACGAUCAGAUACCGUCGUAGUCUUAACCAUAAACUAUGCCGACUAGGGAUCGGGAUGAUGUUAAUUUUUAAUGUACUCAUUCGGCGCCU
rnacentral:rRNA from 1 species